AAAUAUGAACAAGCACAUUCUAGCUGUACUACCAAUAUUGUGGGUUAUGGCAUUUGCAUUUCUUCAAUUUGUACUUUGGCAUAUUUACUUAAAUAUCUUGUAGGCAUGCUUUCUAAAUCAUAACUAAACAAAUCUAGAAUAUUAUUUUUGUUAUUCCAGAUUCAUUGACUGGUUUAUCCUUAGUGUGUUGCAAUUCUAAUAUUUGUUUCUGUUCCCUUACUGUGUUUUUUUUGCUCCUAAAGCAUAGUCUAUGUAUUUUUAAUAAUUAUUCGAAGUGAAAGAUCAGAAACUCAUAAUUAAAGAUAGUUCUGUAUGUUGCUUUGGCUUUCAUUUUUCUUGAAGUAGCAAUGUCCAAAUGCAUAUCCACACAUACAUGUGAGGAUAUGAUCCUACAAAGACACACCAAAUACUAGGAACUCAUGGGGGAAAUUAACACUCCAAAGACCUGUGUUUGACUAAUAUAUAACACUGGUUGACUGAUAAUUGAAUGUCUUGAAGUACUUCCUUUUUACAAAAAUGCUGUGAUUGAUCGAGGUUAUUCUAGUAUUCUGAUAUCUUUGUAUUUAUAUUCUUGAUGAACUUGGAAAAUGUCACAAGAUAGAAUGCCUUUGCUUCAUUAGUAAUUUGGCUGAAGGAAGAUAUGGCCCCAUUAUAAUAGUAAAAACACCUGUGACUUGCUUUGUUUUUAUUUUUACAUGUCAGCGUUUCAUUUUAUACUUGAAAACAACCUUUUAAUUUCACACUUAAUAUUUGUAUUGGACCACUGCUCUUAUUAGAGCAGUUUAAUGUGGCAUAGGCCAGGGGACUGAUGGAUCAAGAACUUAUUUCCAAGGCCAGAUCCCAACAUAACCUUAGAAAAACAAAAUGCCUAUCUCAGAUUUCGACCCCAUGAUGAAAAUAUGGAAGUUGGCUAUGAGCAGAAUCUUUGCCACCAACUUUGGAAGGUAUUGAGAAGAAAUCCCACAAUGAUAUAAUGAAACUUGCUAAAGAACGAAACAAUGCUGAGGAUGCCGAAAAUACCAGACACAGAGAGGUGUGUGUGUAUAUUUUGUUCAUUUGCGUCAUAUUCUCAUUAUUAGCUGCUUAUGUAUCAUUGUGUUAUUUGCAAAAUCAGUUUAUACCACCAAGGAAUUUUUUUCCAUUACAUGUUUGUCUGUUUUACCCUAAGCAAACAGAAUUCGAAUUCUAAAAGCAGCAGUUGCGGAUAUCAUAAUAGUGAACUUUGUGGUCUGUACUUGCUGUUAUUCAGGACGGGUGGUUUACAUGUACGAACCAGUCAUUUAUAGUUUCCACCUGUCUUGUCUCAAGGUUUGGUUUAAUAUACAAGGGUAUGCUCUUCCAAUCUUAAGCUGGCAAGGUAAGUUAUUGAAAGAAAUAAAUGCAAUCAAUGCUUAGUAUGAGGAACAAAUAACAGCACUUCGAGCAUGGCAUGCUAAUCUCAGAGAUGAGUUCCUGCAAAAGGAAUCUCUUGUACGACAACAACAAUACCAACAGGCAAUGAUGGACUAUUAUUCUCAUAGCAGCAUGACCUCAGCUGAUACCAUGCCAACCGGUAAUAAUCUUCAUGGUUAUGGUAGCGUUGCUGAUUCCUAUAGAGAGAUGUCUCGAUUUCUUGGGGGUGCCAGAGAUCAGGGGUUUGAACCCAGAGGUUCAUAGCAGGGGGAACGUGCAUAUGACACCGGUUCACGAUAUUACUGAGUUUGCUUAGUUAAACUUAGCUACAUCCUCCUGGUAUAGUUCUGAUAGUUACUCCCAUGGAUGCUGGUAAGCUAUCCUGAAAUGCUAAAUUUUCUGCAGUUCUCUCCGCCCUGUUGGUUUCUUGUCAUGGAAAAAGGUGAUAUUUUGUUUUUCUCUCCUGUUUUUUUUGGUAGGACAUUGCCGUUGUUAAUAUAGCUAGUUUUAAUACA